UCAAGCUACAAAGAGCGUAUGGUGGAUGCCUUGGCAUUAGGCGCCGAUGAAGGACGUGACAAGCUGCGAUAAGCUGCGGUGAGUGGCAAAUACACUUUGACCCGCAGAUUUCCGAAUGAGGAAACUCACUAUGUUGAAGACAUAGUAUCUUUACACGAAUAAAAUAGUGUAUCGAGGGGAACCCGGAGAACUGAAACAUCUCAUUAUCCGGAGGAAAAGAAAGAAAAUAUUCGAUUUCCUGAGUAGUGGCGAGCGAAAGGGAAGGAGCCCAAACCGUUUGUAGAAAUAUAAACGGGGUUGAGAACUGCGUAACCGACCGAUUUUGAUAGUCGAAGCACUUGGAAAGGUGUGCCAUAGAGAGUGACAGCCUCGUAGGCGAAAUCAAAAUGGUCGCGGCAGAGUUCCAGAGUACCACAGGACACGUGGAAUCCGGUGGGAAUACAAGGAGGACCAUCUCCUAAGGCUAAAUACGACCUAAUGACCUAUAGAGUAUAGUACCGUGAGGGAAAGGUGAAAAGAACCCCGGGAGGGGAGUGAAAUAGAAUCUGAAACCAUAUGCUUACAAGCAGAGAUAGCACGACUUAACGUGUGGUCUCGUACUUUUUGUAGAACGGACCGGCGAGUUACGAUGCGUAGCAAGGUUAAGGUAUUAAGUACCGGAGCCGAAGCGAAAGCGAGUCUGAACAGGGCGUUCAGUUGCGCGUCGUAGACCCGAAACCGAGUGACCUAUCCAUGAACAGGUUGAAGCAGUGGUAAAACACUGUGGAGGACCGAACCCACGCCUGUUAAAAUAGUCGGGGAUGAUUUGUGGAUAGCGGAGAAAUUCUAAUCGAACUCGGAUAUAGCUGGUUCUCCUCGAAAUAGCUUUAGGGCUAGCCUCCGAAUUUAGAUUAUUGAAGGUAGAGCACUGUAUGGGCUAGGGGACUUCACGGUUUACCGAACCUUAACAAACUUCGAAUUUCAAUUAAUUAUGUCGGGGAGUCAGACUGCGUGAGAUAAGUUUCGUAGUCAAAAGGGAAACAGCCCAGACCUACAGCUAAGGUCCCCAAAUUCAGGUUAAGUGGAAAAGGAUGUAUCGUUGCUAAAACAACCAGGAUGUUGGCUUAGAAGCAGCCACUCAUUCAAAGAGUGCGUAAUAGCUCACUGGUCGAGUGACGCUGCGCCGAAGAUUCCCGGGGCUAAAACCUUACACCGAAGCUUAGGAUUCAUAGAGAUAUGAGUGGUAGAGGAGCAAUGUAUGCGGGCAGAAGCCGUAUCGAAAGGGGCGGUGGAGUGCAUACAAGAGAGAAUGCCGGUAUAAGUAGCGAAAGUGAGGUGAGAAUCCUCACCAUCGAAAGUCUAAGGUUUCCUGGGGAAGGUUCGUCCCCCCAGGGUCAGUCGGGACCUAAGUCGAGGGCGAAAGCCGUAGAUGAUGGACAGUAGGUUGAUAUUCCUGCACCGCCACUGGACGUUUUUACCGAUGCAAUGACACAGAAGGAUAGUUGAUCCCCGCGGAUGGUAAAGUGGGGUCGGCACACGAGGCCGGAGCGUAGUGAAGUACGCGCUCCGUUAAGGCAGAGUGUGAGGUUAAGCGAAAUUAAGUAGUAGUUUCAAUGAAUCCACGCUGGCGAGAAAAGUUGCUAGGGAGAAAAGUGGCGCCCGUACCGCAAACCGACACAGGUAGACGAUGAGAGAAUCAUAAGAUGAUCGGGAGAACUCUUGUUAAGGAACUCGGCAAAAUGACCCCGUAACUUCGGGAGAAGGGGUGCCACAGCGAUGUGGCCGCAGUGAAUAGUCCCAAGCAACUGUUUAUCAAAAACACAGGUCUCUGCUAAAUCGAAAGAUGAAGUAUAGGGGCUGACGCCUGCCCAGUGCUGGAAGGUUAAGGGGAGCUGUUAGCGCAAGCGAAGCGGUGAACUUAAGCCCCAGUGAACGGCGGCCGUAACUAUAACGGUCCUAAGGUAGCGAAAUUCCUUGUCAGGUAAAUUCUGACCCGCACGAAUGGCGUAAUGAUUUGGGAACUGUCUCAACAAGAGACCCGGCGAAAUUGUAGUAUACGUGAAGAUGCGUAUUAACCUGCGACUGGACGGAAAGACCCCGUAGAGCUUUACUGUAGCUUGGUAUUGAAUUUCGGCAAUGAAUGUACAGGAUAGGUGGGAGACUUGGAAGCCUCGGCGUCAGCUGAGGUGGAGUCACCCUUGGGAUACCACCCUUUUAUUGCUGGGGUUCUAACGGUGUGCCGUUAUCCGGGCACCGGACAUUGCCAGGUGGGCAGUUUGACUGGGGCGGUCGCCUCCCAAAAAGUAACGGAGGCGCCCAAAGGUUCCCUCAGAAUGGUUGGAAAUCAUUCGCAGAGUGCAAAGGCAGAAGGGAGCUUGACUGCGAGACAGACAUGUCGAGCAGAUACGAAAGUAGGGCUUAGUGAUCCGGCGGUAGAGUAUGGAAUUGCCGUCGCUUAACGGAUAAAAGUUACCUCGGGGAUAACAGGCUUAUCUCUCCCAAGAGUUCACAUCGACGGGGAGGUUUGGCACCUCGAUGUCGGCUCGUCACAUCCUGGGGCUGUAGUAGGUCCCAAGGGUUCGGCUGUUCGCCGAUUAAAGUGGCACGCGAGCUGGGUUCAGAACGUCGUGAGACAGUUCGGUCCCUAUCCAUCGUGGGCGUAGGAUAUUUGAAAGGAUCUGUCCCUAGUACGAGAGGACCGGGAUGGACGUACCAAUUGUGCAUCUGUUGUCGCGCCAGCGGCACGGCAGAGUAGCGAAGUACGGACGGGAUAAACGCUGAAAGCAUCUAAGCGUGAAACCCACCUUAAGAUAAGAUAUCCCUUUCUUUAUGAAGUAAGACCCCUUGCAGACCACAAGGUUGAUAGGUCAGAGGUGUAAGUGCAGUCAAUGCAUUUAGCUGACUGAUACUAAUAGGUCGAGGGCUUGAUCAC
rnacentral:rRNA from 1 species